GAAAAAGAACCUGAAACCGUGUACGUACAAGCAGUGGGAGCACAGAGCAAUCUGUGUGACUGCGUACCUUUUGUAUAAUGGGUCAGCGACUUAUAUUCUGUAGCAAGGUUAACCGAAUAGGGGAGCCGAAGGGAAACCGAGUCUUAACUGGGCGUUAAGUUGCAGGGUAUAGACCCGAAACCCGGUGAUCUAGCCAUGGGCAGGUUGAAGGUUGGGUAACACUAACUGGAGGACCGAACCGACUAAUGUUGAAAAAUUAGCGGAUGACUUGUGGCUGGGGGUGAAAGGCCAAUCAAACCGGGAGAUAGCUGGUUCUCCCCGAAAGCUAUUUAGGUAGCGCCUCGUGAAUUCAUCUCCGGGGGUAGAGCACUGUUUCGGCAAGGGGGUCAUCCCGACUUACCAACCCGAUGCAAACUGCGAAUACCGGAGAAUGUUAUCACGGGAGACACACGGCGGGUGCUAACGUCCGUCGUGAAGAGGGAAACAACCCAGACCGCCAGCUAAGGUCCCAAAGUCAUGGUUAAGUGGGAAACGAUGUGGGAAGGCCCAGACAGCCAGGAUGUUGGCUUAGAAGCAGCCAUCAUUUAAAGAAAGCGUAAUAGCUCACUGGUCGAGUCGGCCUGCGCGGAAGAUGUAACGGGGCUAAACCAUG
rnacentral:rRNA from 1 species